rnacentral:tRNA from 1 species
UGGCGGGAUGGUGUAACGGCAACAUUCCGGCCUCAUUCGCCGGAGCCGCGGGUUCGAAUCCCGCUCCCGCAA